AGGCGCCUACGGGAGGCAGCAGUAGGGAAUCUUCCACAAUGGACGAAAGUCUGAUGGAGCAACGCCGCGUGAGUGAAGAAGGGUUUCGGCUCGUAAAGCUCUGUUGGUAGUGGAGAAAGAUAGAGGGAGUAACUGGCCUUUAUUUGACGGUAAUUACUUAGAAAGUCACGGCUAACUACGUGCCAGCAGCCGCGGUAAUACGUAGGUGGCAAGCGUUGUCCGGAUUUAUU
rnacentral:rRNA from 1 species